rnacentral:piRNA from 1 species
UGAGAGCUAGAAUAUCAUGUCCAUCUCUC